rnacentral:rRNA from 1 species
GACGAACGCUGGCGGCGUGCUUAACACAUGCAAGUCGAACGGAAAGGCCCUGCUUUUGUGGGGUGCUCGAGUGGCGAACGGGUGAGUAACACGUGAGUAACCUGCCCUUGACUUUGGGAUAACUUCAGGAAACUGGGGCUAAUACCGGAUAGGAGCUCCUGCUGCAUGGUGGGGGUUGGAAAGUUUCGGCGGUUGGGGAUGGACUCGCGGCUUAUCAGCUUGUUGGUGGGGUAGUGGCUUACCAAGGCUUUGACGGGUCGCCGGCCUGAGAGGGUGACCGGCCACAUUGGGACUGAGAUACGGCCCAGACUCCUACGGGAGGCAGCAGUGGGGAAUAUUGCACGAUGGGCGGAAGCCUGAUGCAGCAACGCCGCGUGCGGGAUGACGGCCUUCGGGUUGUAAACCGCUUUCGCCUGUGACGAAGCGUGAGUGACGGUAAUGGGUAAAGAAGCACCGGCUAACUACGUG